rnacentral:rRNA from 1 species
ACGGAAGGCAGCAGUGGGGAAUAUUGGACAAUGGGGGAAACCCUGAUCCAGCGACGCCGCGUGAGUGAAGAAGUAUUUCGGUAUGUAAAGCUCUAUCAGCAAGGAAGAAAAUGACGGUACUUGACUAAGAAGCUCCGGCUAAAUACGUGCCAGCAGCCGCGGUAAUACGUAUGGAGCAAGCGUUAUCCGGAUUUACUGGGUGUAAAGGGAGCGCAGGCGGUUUUGCAAGUCUGAAGUGAAAGCCCGUGGCUCAACCGCGGGACUGCUUUGGAAACUGUAAAACUAGAGUAUCGGAGAGGCAAGUGGAAUUCCUAGUGUAGCGGUGAAAUGCGUAGAUAUUAGGAGGAACACCAGUGGCGAAGGCGGCUUGCUGGACGAUAACUGACGCUGAGGCUCGAAAGCGUGGGGAGCAAACAGGAUUAGAUACCCUGGUA